rnacentral:rRNA from 1 species
AGUGAACGCUGGCGGUAGGCCUAACACAUGCAAGUCGAACGGCAGCACAGUAAGGGCUUGCUCUUACGGGUGGCGAGUGGCGGACGGGUGAGGAAUACAUCGGAAUCUACUUUUUCGUGGGGGAUAACGUAGGGAAACUUACGCUAAUACCGCAUACGACCUACGGGUGAAAGCAGGGGAUCUUCGGACCUUGCGCGAUUGAAUGAGCCGAUGUCGGAUUAGCUAGUUGGCGGGGUAAAGGCCCACCAAGGCGACGAUCCGUAGCUGGUCUGAGAGGAUGAUCAGCCACACUGGAACUGAGACACGGUCCAGACUCCUACGGGAGGCAGCAGUGGGGAAUAUUGGACAAUGGGCGCAAGCCUGAUCCAGCCAUACCGCGUGGGUGAAGAAGGCCUUCGGGUUGUAAAGCCCUUUUGUUGGGAAAGAAAAGCAGCAGGCUAAUACCCCGCUGUUCUGACGGUACCCAAAGAAUAAGCACCGGCUAACUUCGUG